UACUGAUCCUGCAAUCAACUGUUGAUUUGGAGCUCAUGCCUCUGAACCUAUGGUGUAACAUAAGAGAAAGCACCAUAGCGCAAAUGCGCCAGUACGUCUGAAUGUACUAAGUAUAUGAGUGAGGUAGGCUAAAUGCAAAGGGUUAUAUGCAUGAAAAAUACUGAUUGAUAUGGACAUGAGAGUACAUACAUGCAUACAUAACUGUUACUGAACUCGUGGAGAUACUGACUACUGAGUCUGAAUACUGACAACAUGAGUAUACUGAUAAUGAGAUUCUAAAAGACUGAGUUUACU
rnacentral:lncRNA from 1 species